rnacentral:ncRNA from 1 species
AUCGUCAGGAUUUUGGCGAUGUAGGGGAUGAGUGGCAGGUUCAGUAUCAACAGGACCAGGUUCCCGAUAUACAUCGAGAUGAUAACAGCCCAGAACACUUGUGGCUCAUCGGUCAUGAGACGUGGACC